GACGAACGCUGGCGGCGUGCCUAAUACAUGCAAGUCGAACGCUGAAGGAGGAGCUUGCUUCUCUGUAUGAGUUGCGAACGUGUGAGUAACGCGUAGGUCUCCUUCCUGGUAGCGGGGGAUAACUAUUGGAAACGAUAGCUAAUACCUCAUAAUAGUGGAUGUUGCAUGACAUUUUCUUAAAAUGUGCAUUUGCAUCACUACUAGAUGGACCUGCGUUGUAUUAGCUAGUUGGUGAGGUAACGGCUCACCACGGCAACGAUACAUAGACGACCUGAUAGGGUGAAGGGGCAAACUGGGACUGAGAAAAGGCCCAGAACCCUACGGGAAGGAGCAGGAGGGAAAAAUUGGAAAUGGAGGGAAGGCUGAACGAACAAAGGCGGGGGAGGGAAGAAGGGUGUCGGAUCGUAAAGGUAGGUUGUAAGAGAAGAAAGAGUGUGAGAGUGGAAAGUUCACAUUGUGACGGUAUCUUAACAGAAAGGGACGGCUAACUACGUG
rnacentral:rRNA from 1 species